rnacentral:rRNA from 1 species
CGCUCAUAAAGUGUCCCUAAUCAUGCUGCCUGGAAAAACCUCUAAGGAGAGCUAAGGCGACCGUACCCGAAACCGACUCAGGUGGGCGAGGAGAGUAUCCUAAGGUGCUCGAGAGAACCAAGGUAAAGGAACUCGGCCAACUAACUCCGUAACUUCGGAAGAAGGAGUGCCCGCGCAAGCGGGUCGCAGUGAAGAGGCCCAGGCGACUGUUUACCAAAAACACAGGGCUCUGCGAAGUCGUAAGACGACGUAUAGGGCCUGACACCUGCCCGGUGCUGGAAGGUUAAGGGGAUCUGUCAUGACGCAAGUCGGCAGCAGUGAACCGAAGCCCCAGUAAACGGCGGCCGUAACAAUAACGGUCCUAAGGUAGCGAAAUUCCUUGUCGGGUAAGUUCCGACCUGCACGAAUGGUGUAACGAUCUGGGCGCUGUCUCUACCUUGGACUCGACGAAAUUGCAAUCUCUGUGAAGAUACUGGGUUCCCGCGGCAGGACGGAAAGACCCCGUGGACCUUUACUAUACCCUGACACUGACAUUUAGCUUUUGAUGUGUAGGAUAGGUGGGAGGCUUUGAAGCUGGCGCGCUAGCGUCGGUGGAGCCAACGUUGAAAUACCACCCUUUAACUGUUGAAUGUCUAACCUAGGCAACGCCAGAGACACUGUCAGGCGGGUAGUUUGACUGGGGCGGUCGCCUCCCAAAAUGUAACGGAGGCGCCCAAAGGUUCCCUCAGCACGGUCGGCAAUCGUGCAUAGAGUGCAAAGGCAUAAGGGAGCUUGACUGCAAGACAAACAAGUCAAGCAGGUAGGAAACUAGGGCUUAGUGAUCCGGCGGUAGUGAAUGGAAAUGCCGUCGCUCAUCGGACAAGAGGUACCCCGGGGAUAACAGGCUUAUCGCCGCCAAGAGUUCACAUCGACGCGGCGGUUUGGCACCUCGAUGUCGGCCCGUCACAUCCUGGGGCUGGAGAAGGUCCCAAGGGUUUGGCUGUUCGCCAAUUAAAGUGGCACGCGAGCUGGGUUCAGAACGUCGUGAGACAGUUCGGUCCCUAUCCGCCGUGGGCGUAGGAAUCUUGAAGAGUGCUGUGCUCAGUACGAGAGGACCGGCAUGGACGAACCUCUGGUGUACCAGUUGUGGCGCCAGCUGCAGCGCUGGGUAGCUAGGUUCGGAUCGGAUAAACGCUGAAAGCAUCUAAGUGUGAAACCGACUCCAAGAUUAGGAUUCCCUGAAGACCCCUUGAAGAUGACAAGGUUGAUAGGCUACAGGUGUAAGUGUGGUAACACAUUCAGCCGAGUAGUACUAAUAGGUCGUUCGGCUUGACC